GAUAAAUAGCGAGCACCUUCGUAUGGAAAACUGCAAUAAACGGAAUCUGCGUGUUUAGAGAAAGAAUGAUGACAUAACGAUGGUUUCAGUUUCUCAUCUUUGUUCAUACUGAUGCCUUUUUCGUAUAUGCAUAAUUUCCAACUGUUAUAUGUAUAACAUUUAUAACUCAAUAGUCUAUUAAUAACAAUGAUUAAAGUAGGUUCUCCGAUAAUUGACAUAUAUGUAAUAAUACAAUCUGGGAACCUGUGCGCAAUCUUCCUAUUUGCAAUAGAAUUUCUCUAUGCGCUGAGAAUAUAUUAACAGCCACUUCUACUAGAUUUACUUAUUUACUGUAUGUAACAAAUUUAUUUACUUUCAGCAGAAUAGAGCCACUUCUUCCUGCGGAUUUAUCUUCUCAACAUAUUUACUGUGAGAACUUAGGAAAUAAUAUAAAUCGAGCGUUCAUUAUUUUUAGUAUAGAUAUGUCUCUACCUGUAAUUCAGUAUAUAUUGUCGCCGUGGUACAUAUUCAAUUAAUUGUACGGUAUUCAAACAGGUCUGAGAGCAUAUCCAUAAAGGUAAAAUGUACGUCUCUCAUACAUAUUCAGCGUAUGUUGAUUUAACCAAGACCGUACCUUUCCACAACAAACGUAUGCAUGCAAUACUUCAAUUUAUCCUAAAUUGUUGAGUGAUUAAGAAUAUUUCCCGUACGCCAGUCAGACGUUAAGUACGUGACAUAUUUAGUGUUUUAACAUUGAGACGUGCAAUUAAAAAAUUAAUUAACUUUUUUGCAUUACAGAAAGUUAUCUUGGGUCAAGAGUCAUGUGAUAGCGAUGACCAUCGAAACAUUCUUGAGGGCGUCAAGCGCAAUAAAUAUUCAACAAUAUACAGAUUUCUGCACUUGAUUAUCUGAUUCUUGCAUAAAAUUACGACAAUGCGAUUCAUAAAAAUGCAUGCAUAUAUAUUGUAUAAUUGCAUGCGUGAUUUAUGUAAUGUGAAAUUGUGAUUUUUAUUGAAGAUAUUUUCAGCAGAUAUUCUCCCAACUUGAGAAGAGAUUGGACUAAAUAUUCUAGAAAUUCAAGGAGUUUGUAUACCAGCGUGUUUUGUUCACCUCUAUGGGUGGCCGAAGACACCAUAAAUAUUUAGCUAGGCAGUUGCAGACUAAAACUAAAACAUAAUCUAGUAUUUCCCUUAUAGUGAAUCCGCGUCUGUCUUAAAUUAAUCUGUGCCUAUUUGUCCCACAUUCGCCUUGGAUUAAACCGACACGUUCUUCCCCGUCAGUGGGUGAUCAUUGAUUCUUUUCUUAUUGCAAUUGCAUUCCAUUCUCUUUAACGGGGCUAGAAUUUUUCAUUAUACACACUCACUAUAGCCGAUCUUCUCACCAUCAACAUAGAUUUUUAUUAAGAAAAAGAAAGUUUACCCAAGAGGCUGAGUGGGGCACUCUCUCAAAGGUUUCUCAAUGUAAAGACAAAAAGAAACCGAAAAAUUGAUACAUUUCGAAGAGGCGCAAGUAUCUGAAGAGUCUGAGCGUUGAAUGAAUUUUUUAUUUAACGAUCUAAGGAAUUUUAAAACGAAAGGAAACGAGGAUUCCAACAUUCGAAGAAGAAUUUGAAAGGAAAUGAACCGAAUAACUAAAAGCAUGAAUGAAUUAGACGAAUUGAUGAAGAAUAUCCUAUCAAGCUGAAGAAUCCAAAGCAUCGGAAACAUUACAAAAGUAGGUACGAAAAACCUGAAGAAACUAAAGAAUUUGGAAAAAUUAGAAUGAUCUGCCUGAUUGGAGAAAAAAACGGUCUUAAGUAUCUGAAAGACCUGACGGAUUUCAAGAGUCUGAAGCAUUCCUGCACUACAAGCAUGUACCUAAGGGGAAAUGUAGAAUGGUUUCAUUGCCAAAAAAAACACGGAUUCUUUAAUUUUUACUAAACGCAUCAAGAAGAGAUUUCAGUAGCGGCAAGAGAAUUAGUUUAGGCUCUAAUUAAAUCCACUUCACCGUUAUCGUUUCGAUCAUAUAUAGGAUUUUGUGACGCGAACGCCUAAACUAGAAGUAAAAAUUUUGAACGACGAUACGAUAGAAUCAAAACAAGCUAAAAUGUCCACAAAAUGGAAGAAUCCAAAUAUCUAUAACAACCAUCAACCUGAAUAAAUGGAAGGUCAAAAAUUCGAAUAAUGCUAAAAAUCCCAAGCAUCCUUAUUCUAAUGAAUCUGAUAAAUGUCGACUACCAAGGUAUUGGGAAAAGGGAAUGAAUUAAAGAAUCGGAUACAUUUCUAAAGAUAGGAAAGGGUCGGAGAAACAUGAUUAAUCUGAAGAAUCAGAAGUAAAGGAUAUUAAAAUAAUCUGAAAAUGAGAAGAAUCCGAAGGACGUGAGGAAUUAGAAAAAAUGGAAGGACCCAAACGAUAAGCGAUAUAUAGAGACUGAAAAAAAGAAAAUGGCAGAAUCUGAAGAAUAUUUACGAUCUGAGGAAUCCGAAAAAAUUGAAGAACCUAAUGGAAUUUGAAAAGGGUGAACGGGCCGGAUUUACCAUGGGGUCUAUAGCGUCAAAUUUAGGGGCAGCAAAAAACCAAAUUUGGGAUAUACUAUCGUGGAGACAUAACAUAACCUCUUGCGAAAUUGAAGUUGGAAUGUUAUGCACACUCUUACCAACUUAUAAGUAAUCAUGAAAUAUGGAGUAACAUUACCUCACAUUUCGACGAAAUUAUGUGAACUGUGUAUUAAGAUUGUGGAAAAUUUAGGGCUUCUCCCGCAAUUGUUUUGUUCAAACGCAUAAUUAAGGUGCCCUCUAACUAUUUUUAUCAAUUUCAUGAUCGUACCUGGGGGGCUUAAUAACGUCAGGUAACCGUUAAAUUCUCUGAAUUCUCUGAAACACGAUUCAGUGGUUACAUUAUAUGUUUAUUUAAACUGUAAAAUAAACUUGAAAUACGUUAUUUGAAAUUGAUGUCUUAUAUUAUUUUGGAAAACCACUUUUGAAUUACACAUUGUAAAUAUUACGUAAUAACGUAUAUUCUUAAAAGUAAAUUAGGUAUACUCACAUGAUCACCUCCUGUUGAUG